GCGUCCUUGGUGUAGCGGUAACACACCGCCCUGAAUUCAUAGCCUUCUCCUGUUUUCUACGGCGAAGUCCGGGGUUCGAGCCCCCGAGGACACA